GACGAACGCUGGCGGCGUGCCUAAUACAUGCAAGUCGAGCGAAGUCUUUCUGGUGCUUGCACUAGAAAAACUUAGCGGCGAACGGGUGAGUAACAUGUAAAGAACCUGCCUCAUAGACUGGGACAACUAUUGGAAACGAUAGCUAAUAACGGAUAACAGCAUUAACUGCAUGGUUGAUGUUUAAAAGUUGGUUUUGCUAACACUAUGAGAUGGCCUUGCGGUGCAUUAGCUAGUUGGUGGGGUAAAGGCCUACCAAGGCGACGAUGCAUAGCCGACCUGAGAGGAUGAUCGGCCACACUGGGACUGAGACACGGCCCAGACUCCUACGGGAGGCAGCAGUAGGGAAUCUUCCGCAAUGGGCGAAAGCCUGACGGAGCAACGCCGCGUGAGUGAAGAAGGAUUUCGGUUCGUAAAGCUCUGUUGUUAGGGAAGAAUGAUUGUGUAGUAACUAUACACAGUAGAGACGGUACCUAAACAGAAAGCCACGGCUAACUACGUG
rnacentral:rRNA from 1 species